GUCAGAGUCCUGACCUCAACCCGAUUGAGAUGCUGUGGCAUGACUUCAAGAAAGUGAUUCAAACCAGACAUCCCAAGCAUAUUGCUGAACUGAAACAGUUCUGUAAAGAGGAAUGGUCAAGAAUUACUCCUGACCGUUGUGCACGUCUGAUCUACAACUACAGGAAACAUUUGGUUGAAGUUAUUGCUGCCAAAGGAGGUUCAACCAGUUAUUAAAUUCAAGGGUUCACAUACUUUUUCCACCUGCACUGUGAAU